UGACGGUAUCAUAUGAAUAAGCACCGGCUAACUCCGUGCCAGCAGCCGCGGUAAUACGGGGGGUGCAAGCGUUACUCGGAAUCACUGGGCGUAAAGAGCAUGUAGGCGGGUGAAUAAGUUGGAAGUGAAAUCCUACAGCUUAACUAUAGAACUGCUUCCAAAACUGUUCACCUAGAGUAUGGGAGAGGUAGAUGGAAUUUCUGGUGUAGGGGUAAAAUCCGUAGAGAUCAGAAGGAAUACCGAUUGCGAAGGCGAUCUACUGGAACAUUACUGACGCUCAGAUGCGAAAGCGUGGGGAGCAAACAGGAUUAGAUACCCUGGUAGUCCACGCCCUAAACGAUGUACACUAGGUGUUGCUAUACUAGAUA
rnacentral:rRNA from 1 species